AACGAACGCUGGCGGCGUGGCUAAGGCAUGCAAGUCGAACGGAUCUAUCCAACGGGUAACUGAAGGGUAGAUUAGUGGCGAACGGGUGAGGAAUACAUGGACAACGUACCCUGGACACGGGGAUAGCGGCGGGCCGCAAGGCUCUUUAGCGAAAGUGCCGGUAAUACCCGAUGAUCCCGCAUGGUCGCAUGAUCGUGUGGGCAAAGCUCCGACGGUCUGGGAUCGGUUCAUGCCCUAUCAGCUAGUUGGUGAGGUAACGGCUCACCAAGGCGGCGACGGGUACCGGGCGUGAGAGCGUGACCCGGCACAUCGGAACUGAGAUACGGUCCGGAC
rnacentral:rRNA from 1 species